rnacentral:rRNA from 1 species
ACGGGAGGCAGCAGUGAGGAAUAUCGGUCAAUGGGCGAGAGCCUGAAUCAGCCAAGUCGCGUGAAGGAUGAAGGUUCUAUGGAUUGUAAACUUCUUUUGUUCGAGGGUAAAGUGAGUCACGUGUGAUUUAUUGCAAGUAUCGAACGAAUAAGCAUCGGCUAACUCCGUGCCAGCAGCCGCGGUAAUACGGAGGAUGCGAGCGUUAUCCGGAUUUAUUGGGUUUAAAGGGUGCGUAGGCGGGAUGUUAAGUCAGCGGUUAAAUAGUGUAGCUCAACUAUACUUUGCCGUUGAAACUGGCGUUCUUGAGUGUAAACGAGGUAGGCGGAAUGUGACGUGUAGCGGUGAAAUGCUUAGAUAUGUCACAGAACCCCGAUUGCGAAGGCAGCUUACCAGGAUACAACUGACGCUGAGGCACGAAAGCGUGGGUAUCAAACAGGAUUAGAUACCCUGGUA